CUUAAAAUUAAGAAGAAUGGCAUUGAUUGCGAUGGAGGGAGUACAAGACAAAUGAAAGUCCAUCACGAUGGCAAAGUAUCAAAGAAGAAAUCUUCCCUAAAUGUGAAUGUGCAAUAAUAUUAACUACUCCCCUGUGAGGGUUAAGCCAAUAAGCAGUUAACAAUUAUUCAAAGCCGGUCAACAUUCCAACUGUUCGACAAAAUGAUGCAAAGAAGAACAGACAUGGAAGAUUAGAAACCCAAAAAGGAAAGGAAAAAAAAAUUCUGACAUUCAAAUUCAUUGUUUUUGGAUAUCGGAGAAAAUGCCAUUCAACGGCGUAUUAUUAGUGUCAGUGGCGAAAACAUCAGCAGAAGUUUGGCAAUUCUUAUCAUGUCUGCCAGACCCAAUUGAGAGCGAGCAGCUAUUGGAUCUGGUCAUCUGCUUCCCUCUUCAACAAUUGGGUCGGUUAGCUCUUUGUGUUUGGACUUUCCUUUGUGUCCCACCUGACCCUUAUUACUAUCGCCGUUACUCUUACAAUUCUUCUGCGUCUUCUUCAUCUUCAUCAUUUUAUGAUGAGGAGGAUCUUGUUGGUGCUUCCCCUCCUGUUGCAGCUCCUCAAUAUUACUAUGAUUCUUCUUCUUCUUCACAUUCGGAUUGACCCUCAUAAGCUAAUCUAAUUAUUUUGUAAAAUAGUUGCCUUCUUGCCCUGUUUGGUUUUCUGUUUUUUUUUUUUUUUUUUUUGUUGUAUAAUAUCCAUAUCUGUUGACCACUAAAGAAAAGGAAAAAUAUUUGUGCAAAUUUAUUGAGCUUAUCUUACAUUUUCCUUGUUAAAAAUAUGUUUUUUUUUAUUUGGGGAAAGGAAGGGGGGUUUCUUGAGCUGUAUGUUACCUGUCUAAGAGAACAUUUUUAGCAAGAAUUUGAUGCUUGGCUAGUAGAGAUUGAGUUUGGAGAUGUGUUGGAAGAUUGUUUUGAAGUUCCAUUGAGUCUUCUUGUGCCAAAGACAUUACUUAUGUGAAUUCUGUCAUGGAUCACUGUAGAAUUCUAUUUUGGGAUUCCGUCAUGUAACUACUCUACACUAGGAUUCUAUGUAAGUUCUCUCUGCUUGUGUAUGACAUGUUUAGAGUAGUAUGUGUGUGUAUUUACACAACUGCAAACUUUAAAUCCUGGUAUAAAACAUACUAAUUUCCUUCCCUUUUCCCUGUUUUGCUAUGAGCCUGAAAUAUGCCUUAGUAAAGGAGUGUGCUGAUGGGAGGCUACUCUUAUUGGUGGGAGUUUAAAAAGUUUAAUUUUCUUCCCUUUUCCCUGUUUUUGUUUGUCUCACUUUCUUCUUCCCUUCAGAUAUCUUAUUUUUCGGUCACCUCAAUGCUUAAAAGUUAGUAUUUCUUAUAUUUUAAUUGAAACAUCAUCUAUUGCACCUGGGUAUAGAGCUUUUGUGGUUACAGAUAGUUGUCUGUAGGUCACAAAGAGUAGCUGUAAAAGCAGCAUGCUGGUAAUGCUGCUGAAACUGAGCCAGCAAUCUGCUUACAUAUUCAUUGUGGUUCUCCAGCUUGUUAGGUGGAAAAGGAUAGACAAAUUGUAGAUUCUUCUUUAAAAGAUACAAAACAAUCUAAUUUCCAUGUUUUGGCUGUAGCAAAUAUGUCAUCUAUGCUAGCUAUAAGAAUGGUGAGUAGGGGAUUCUGAGGAACAAAUUGAUUGUGGAGUUACUAAUAUAAGUCCGGGUGAUUACAGGAGUUGGAGAUAGAUGGAUACCACCAUGUCUAGCAUGCACGUCUAGCCCUCAUUUCCGCACUAGCUAACUUCUAAUUAGUUAGCCUUCUUCACCAGACUAUUCCAUCUCCAUUAUUUGUCCUUCCCACUUAAAAUUUCAAGAGAUCACUGAUGGACAAGCUGCAACUUGUUUCCAUUUUUUCUAUUUAUUGCUUCAGUAUUAACCAAAGACUUAUAGUAUCCUAGUGUAGUAAAAGAGCAGACCAGUAAUAGUCCAUAGUGGUAAAACUGACGGGCUUAAUAUUUGUUGCUAUGGAAGCCACCAUUACUGAAGGUUUGUUAUUGGGAGUGUUUGCAUUUCCAUUAAUGCAAAUGUUAAGCAUGCUAUGCACCAUAGCCUAAUUUGCUGCACAAUGAGCCGGCAAGAAAUUUUUGAACUCAUGUGCACAUUUGUUCUAUCACCUAUGCGUUGUGCCAUCUCUUGCUGAUUGCUUGGGUUUCAGCAGAGCUAUUAAAAGAUGAAGAGAAUGUCUGACAGUCUGAAGUCCAUGAGAAGGAAUAGUAUGAAGUCCUACUAAGUGAUCAAAAUUGCUUGGCACUGUGAUCAAUAGAUUGACAUCAAUGCUUCAUUAGGAGAUGAAAGAACAAGUGCUUCAAGAAGGGAUGAUUCACAUACUCUCAAACUAGGAACUCACAUUACUUGAAGAGUAUAUGGAUCUUAGGGCCAAUGUUUGCAUUAUCUCAUAAAAGGUGACAGAAAACACCAAUCAAAGUCUAAAAGACCGAAAAACCACCAAACAAAAUCUAUGAUGUCAGAAUCUAAGACUCGUAGUAGUCACUCGAAGCAUCAUUUCACCCAAUAUCCUAGAAAUGAAUACUUAGGUACCAGAAUAUAUGAUUGAUGGAAUAACUUGUGGUAACAGCGUAUAAGUGUUUUCAAUGGUAUGGAGAAAAUGUAACAUAUAUCUAUUUAUUAUCCUCUGUUGAAACUGUCUCUUAUGAGUUGCUAGAGGUCUAACAGUAUUUGAUUAUUCAUGGCUAAUAAGAAUUUCCUAGGCACCGAGCAUGUGCUUAUGAUCUGUGUAUAGCCAAUACGGCACAAGGAUAGUAUUAUGAUCUUUCUUUGGUCAUAUUCUUGUAGUAAUAUUUCUUUGAAUGUGUUAAAUUUGAGAUUCUAUGUUAA